AGAGUUUGAUCCUGGCUCAGGAUGAACGCUGGCGGCGUGCCUAAUACAUGCAAGUCGAACGGAAACCUUCGGGUUUUAGUGGCGAACGGGUGAGUAACACGUAAGCAACCUACCCUAAAGACGAGGAUAACCAUUGGAAACAGUGGCUAAGACUGGAUAGGAAGAUAAAAGGCAUCUUGUAUCUUUUAAAAGACCUAGUUAAUAGGUAUGCUUUAGGAGGGGCUUGCGCCAUAUUAGUUAGUUGGUAGGGUAAUGGCCUACCAAGACGAUGAUGUGUAGCUGGACUGAGAGGUUGAACAGCCACAUUGGGACUGAGACACGGCCCAAACUCCUACGGGAGGCAGCAGUAGGGAAUUUUCGGCAAUGGAGGAAACUCUGACCGAGCAACGCCGCGUGAAUGACGAAGUACUUCGGUAUGUAAAGUUCUUUUAUCGAGGAAGAAAAGCAAAUGGCGAACCAUUUGUUUGCCGGUACUUGAUGAAUAAGCCCCGGCUAAUUAUGUGCCAGCAGCCGCGGUAAGACAUAAGGGGCAAGUGUUAUCCGGAAUUAUUGGGCGUAAAGGGUGCGUAGGCGGUCUAGUAAGUCAGUGGUGUAAUGGCAACGCUUAACGUUGUCCGGCUAUUGAAACUGCUAAACUUGAGUUAGAUAGAGGCGAGUGGAAUUCCAUGUGUAGCGGUAAAAUGCGUAAAUAUAUGGAGGAACACCAGAGGCGUAGGCGGCUCGCUGGGUCUUAACUGACGCUGAGGCACGAAAGCGUGGGGAGCAAACAGGAUUAGAUACCCUGGUAGUCCACGCCGUAAACGAUGAGUACUAAGUGUCGGGUUAAACCGGUACUGAAGUUAACACAUUAAGUACUCCGCCUGAGUAGUACGUACGCAAGUAUGAAACUUAAAGGAAUUGACGGGACUCCGCACAAGCGGUGGAUCAUGUUGUUUAAUUCGAAGAUACCCGAAAAACCUUACCAGGUCUUGACAUGUUUUUGCAAAAUGAUAGUAAUAUCGUGGAGGUUACCAGAAACACAGGUGGUGCAUGGUUGUCGUCAGCUCGUGUCGUGAGAUGUUAGGUUAAGUCCUAAAACGAGCGAAACCCUUAUCGUUAGUUGCCAGCACGUUAUGGUGGGGACUUUAACGAGACUGCCAAUGAUAAAUUGGAGGAAGGUGAGGAUCACGUCAAAUCAGCAUGCCCCUUAUGACCUGGGCUACAAACGUGAUACAAUGGCUGUUACAAAGGGUAGCUGAAACGCAAGUUCUUGGCCAAUCCCAAAACAGUCCCAGUCCGGAUUGAAGUCUGCAACUCGACUUCAUGAAGUUGGAAUCGCUAGUAAUCGCGAAUCAGCAUGUCGCGGUGAAUACGUUCUCGGGUUUGUACACACCGCCCGUCAAACCACGAAAGUUGGCAAUACCCCAAAACGGUAGCCUAACUCGUUUAUUCGAGAGGGCGCCGUCUAAGGUAGGGUCGAUGAUUGGGGUUAAGUCGUAACAAGGUAUCCCUACCGGAAGGUGGGGAUGGAUCACCU
rnacentral:rRNA from 1 species